AUUGAACGCUGGCGGCAGGCCUAACACAUGCAAGUCGAACGGCAACACGAUGAAGCUUUCUUCUUUGCGGUCGCGAGGCGGGCGGGUGAGAAGUGUAUGUCAAACUCUCCGUUUUAGGGGGAGAUCACGUGGGAACGGUUACUAUAAUCCCGCAACCGCUCUAGAGGAGAAAGGAGGGGAUCCUCGCCUCUUGCCAGCGUGUAUGCGCAGAUGGGAUUAGCGAGUAGGGGGGGUAACGGCUCACCUAGGCGACGAUCCCUAGCUGGUCUGAGAGGAUGAUCAGCCACACUGGAACUGAGACACGGUCCAGACUCCUACGGGAGGCAGCAGUGGGGAAUAUUGCACAAUGGGCGCAAGCCUGAUGCAGCCAUGCCGCGUGUGUGAAGAAGGCCUUCGGGUUGUAAAGUCCUUUUGUCGGGGAGGAAGAGCGUCAGGUUAAUACCUUGCCUCAUUGACGGUACCCGCAGAAGAAGCACCGGCUAACUCCGUG
rnacentral:rRNA from 1 species